GCAAAAUCAUUUUAAAUAAAAAAGUCAGGUCAAGGUGUAGCAAAUGAGGCGGAAAGAAAUGGGCUACAUUUUCUAUUAUAGAAUAUACAAAAUGUUUUAUGAAAUAUAACAUGAAGGAGGAUUUAGAAGUAAAAGGAAAAAAGAGUGUUCUUUUUAAAUCGGCAAUAGAGCGCGCACACACCGCCCGUCACCCUCCUUACAUACCAGAAAAUUAAAUAAAU
rnacentral:misc_RNA from 1 species